rnacentral:rRNA from 1 species
CCUACGGGAGGCAGCAGUAGGGAAUAUUGCUCAAUGGGGGAAACUCUGAAGCAGCAACGCCGCGUGGAGGAUGACGGUUCUCGGAUUGUAAACUCCUUUUGUUAGAGAAGAAAAUGACGGUAUCUAACGAAUAAGCACCGGCUAACUCCGUGCCAGCAGCCGCGGUAAUACGGAGGGUGAAAGCGUUACUCGGAAUCACUGGGCGUAAAGGGCGCGUAGGCGGGAUAGCAAGUCAGAUGUGAAAUCCUAUGGCUUAACCAUAGAACUGCAUUUGAAACUGUUUUUCUUGAGUAUGGGAGAGGUAGGUGGAAUUCUUGGUGUAGGGGUAAAAUCCGUAGAGAUCAAGAGGAAUACUCAUUGCGAAGGCGACCUGCUGGAACAUAACUGACGCUGAUGCGCGAAAGCGUGGGGAGCAAACAGGAUUAGAUACCCUGGUAGUC